rnacentral:rRNA from 1 species
AGGACGAACGCUGGCGGCGUGCUUAACACAUGCAAGUCGAGCGGAAAGGCCUUUCGGGGUACUCGAGCGGCGAACGGGUGAGUAACACGUGAGUAAUCUGCCCAUCGCUUCAGGAUAGCCAUCGGAAACGGUGAUUAAUACUGGAUAUGACAUUCCUUCGCAUGUUGGGGUGUGGUAAAGUUUUUUCGGCGGUGGAUGUGCUCGCGGCCUAUCAGCUUGUUGGUGGGUAAUGGCCUACCAAGGCUUUGACGGGUAGCCGGCCUGAGAGGGUGACCGGCCACGACGUGGGACUGGACGACACGGCCCAGACCUCCGUACGGGAGGCAGCAGGUGGGGAAUAGUUGGACAAGUGGGACGGAAGCCUGAUCCGAGCAACGCCGCGUGAGGAGUGGACGUCGUUCGGGUUACGUAACCUC